rnacentral:rRNA from 1 species
GACGAACGCUGGCGGCGCGCUUAACACAUGCAAGUCGAGCGAUGAAAUUUCGACAGAUCCCUUCGGGGUGAAGAUGAAAUGGAUUAGCGGCGGACGGGUGAGUAACACGUGAGUAACCUGCCUUUGACAUUGGGAUAGCCUCGGGAAACUGGGAUUAAUACCAAAUGACACUAACUGAUCACAUGAUCAAUUAGUCAAAGAAAUUCGGUCAAAGAUGGACUCGCGGCUGAUUAGCUAGUUGGUGAGGUAACGGCCCACCAAGGCGACGAUCAGUAGCCGGCGUGAGAGGGUGAUCGGACACAGUGGAACUGAGACACGGUACAAACUCAUACGGGAGGCAGCAGUGGGGAAUAUUGCACAAUGGGGGAAACCGUGAUGCAGCGACGCCGCGUGAGCGAAGAAGGCAUUCGGGUCGUAAAGCUCUUUUCUGAGGGAAGAUAAUGACGGUACCUGAAGAAAAAGCCCCGGCUAACUACGUG